AAGAGACAGCAGCCGCCGCGGUAAUACGUAGGUGGCAAGCGUUGUCCGGAAUUAUUGGGCGUAAAGGGCUCGCAGGCGGUUCCUUAAGUCUGAUGUGAAAGCCCCCGGCUCAACCGGGGAGGGUCAUUGGAAACUGGGGAACUUGAGUGCAGAAGAGGAGAGUGGAAUUCCAUGUGUAGCGGUGAAAUGCGUAGAUAUAUGGAGGAACACCAGUGGCGAAGGCGACUCUCUGGUCUGUAACUGACGCUGAGGCUCGAAAGCGUGGGUAGCAAACAGGAUUAGAUACCCCUGUAGUCCCUGUCUCUUAUAC
rnacentral:rRNA from 1 species